rnacentral:rRNA from 1 species
AUUGAACGCUGGCGGCAUGCCUUACACAUGCAAGUCGAACGGCAGCACGGGAGCAAUCCUGGUGGCGAGUGGCGAACGGGUGAGUAAUAUAUCGGAACGUGCCCAGUCGUGGGGGAUGACGCAGCGAAAGCUGUGCUAAUACCGCAUACGAUCGAUGGAGGAAAGCGGGUGAUCGCAAGACCUCGCGCGAUUGGAGCGGCCGAUAUCAGAUUAGCUAGUUGGUGAGGUACAGGCUCACCAAGGCGACGAUCUGUAGCUGGUCUGAGAGGACGACCAGCCACACUGGAACUGAGACACGGUCCAGACUCCUACGGGAGGCAGCAGUGGGGAAUUUUGGACAAUGGGCGAAAGCCUGAUCCAGCAAUGCCGCGUGCAGGAUGAAGGCCUUCGGGUUGUAAACUGCUUUUGUACGGAACGAAACGGUGAGCUCUAAUACAGUUUGCUAAUGACGGUACCGUAAGAAUAAGCACCGGCUAACUACGUGCCAGCCGCCGCCGUAA